rnacentral:misc_RNA from 1 species
AGAGAAAGACGACUAGAGGCAAGUUUUAAGGAUACGAGAUGCGUUUAUUCUCACAGCUGUUAAUUAUAAAAAAGAUACCAAGUAAAAAAAGUAGAGUCUCAUAGCUCAGCUGGUUAGAGCGCUACACUGAUAAUGUAGAGGUCGGCAGUUCGAGUCUGCCUGAGACUACUAAUUUUUUUUAUUUAUUGGAAAUUUUGGAAGUUGAGUUAUCACGUUAAGGUGAGCCGUUUUUGAAGCUGUUAACUUAUAACUGUUAGCUGUUAACUAUAAAAAGACGGGGAAUUAGCUCAGCUGGCUAGAGCGCCUGCCUUGCACGCAGGAGGUCAUCGGUUCGACUCCGAUAUUCUCCACAGAUAAAGCCUUAAUAUUAAGGUUUUUCAAAAUGAGAUUUUGAGGUUGGCGCGUAAGCGCACUCCGAAAAAGUUCAUAUUGACAACGUUCAUUGACAUAUUGAAAAAAGAUACAUGAAAUUAGAUAGAAAUAUUUAAUAAAAGUAAUAAUUAUUGUAACGAGCAAUAAUUUGUAUUAAAGUAUUAAUUAUGAAAUUUUCAUAUUAAUUUUUUAAUAUAUAGUAACUCAUUAAAAAGACAAAAAGUAC